ACCUACGGGAGGCAGCAGUGGGGAAUAUUGGAUACUGUGGGCAACCCUGAUCCAGCCAUGCCGCGUGUGUGAAGAAGGCCUUUUGGUUGUAAAGCACUUUAAGCAGGGAGGAGAGGCUAAUGGUUAAUACCCAUUAGAUUAGACGUUACCUGCAGAAUAAGCACCGGCUAACUCUGUGCCAGCAGCCGCGGUAAUACAGAGGGUGCGAGGGUUAAUCGGAAUUACUGGGCGUAAAGCGAGUGUAGGUGGCUCAUUAAGUCACAUGUGAAAUCCCCGGGCUUAACCUGGGAACUGCAUGUGAUACUGGUGGUGCUAGAAUAUGUGAGAGGGAAGUAGAAUUCCAGGUGUAGCGGUGAAAUGCGUAGAGAUCUGGGGGAAUACCGAUGGCGAAGGCAGCUUCCUGGCACAAUAUUGACACUGAGAUUCGAAAGCGUGGGUAGCAAACAGGAUUAGAUACCCUGGUAGUCCACGCCGUAAACGAUGUCUACUAGCCGUUGGGGUCCUUGAGACUUUAGUGGCGCAGUUAACGCGAUAAGUAGACCGCCUGGGGAGUACGGCCGCAAGGUUAAAACUCAAAUGAAUUGACGG
rnacentral:rRNA from 1 species